rnacentral:rRNA from 1 species
UACGUAGGGUGCAAGCGUUGUCCGGAAUUAUUGGGCGUAAAGAGCUCGUAGGCGGUCUGUCGCGUCGGCUGUGAAAACUCGGGGCUUAACCCUGGGCUGGCAGUGGAUACGGACAGACUAGAGGUAGGUAGGGGAGAAUGGAAUUCCCGGUGUAGCGGUGAAAUGCGCAGAUAUCGGGAAGAACACCCAUGGCGAAGGCAGCUCUCUGGGACGGUACUGACGCUGAGACGCGAAAGCGUGGGGAGCAAACAGG